CAUGUAGGCGGCCUAUUAAGUCGGGCGUGAAAAUGCGGGGCUCAACCCCGUAUGGCGCCCGAUACUGGUGGGCUUGAGUGCAGGAGAGGAAAGGGGAAUUCCCAGUGUAGCGGUGAAAUGCAUAGAUAUUGGGAGGAACACCAGUGGCGAAGGCGCCUUUCUGGACUGUGUCUGACGCUGAGAUGCGAAAGCCAGGGGAGCGAACG
rnacentral:rRNA from 1 species